AAAUUGAAGAGUUUGAUCAUGGCUCAGAUUGAACGCUGGCGGCAGGCCUAACACAUGCAAGUCGAACGGUAACAGGAAGCAGCUUGCUGCUUUGCUGACGAGUGGCGGACGGGUGAGUAAUGUCUGGGAAACUGCCCGAUGGAGGGGGAUAACUACUGGAAACGGUAGCUAAUACCGCAUAACGUCGCAAGACCAAAGAGGGGGACCUUAGGGCCUCUUGCCAUCGGAUGUGCCCAGAUGGGAUUAGCUAGUAGGUGGGGUAAUGGCUCACCUAGGCGACGAUCCCUAGCUGGUCUGAGAGGAUGACCAGCCACACUGGAACUGAGACACGGUCCAGACUCCUACGGGAGGCAGCAGUGGGGAAUAUUGCACAAUGGGCGCAAGCCUGAUGCAGCCAUGCCGCGUGUAUGAAGAAGGCCUUCGGGUUGUAAAGUACUUUCAGCGGGGAGGAAGGGAGUAAAGUUAAUACCUUUGCUCAUUGACGUUACCCGCAGAAGAAGCACCGGCUAACUCCGUGCCAGCAGCCGCGGUAAUACGGAGGGUGCAAGCGUUAAUCGGAAUUACUGGGCGUAAAGCGCACGCAGGCGGUUUGUUAAGUCAGAUGUGAAAUCCCCGGGCUCAACCUGGGAACUGCAUCUGAUACUGGCAAGCUUGAGUCUCGUAGAGGGGGGUAGAAUUCCAGGUGUAGCGGUGAAAUGCGUAGAGAUCUGGAGGAAUACCGGUGGCGAAGGCGGCCCCCUGGACGAAGACUGACGCUCAGGUGCGAAAGCAUGGGGAGCAAACAGGAUUAGAUACCCUGGUAGUCCACGCCGUAAACGAUGUCGACUUGGAGGUUGUGCCCUUGAGGCGUGGCUUCCGGAGCUAACG
rnacentral:rRNA from 1 species